UGAGGAAUAUUGGUCAAUGGGCGCGAGCCUGAACCAGCCAAGUAGCGUGAAGGAUGACUGCCCUACGGGUUGUAAACUUCUUUAUAAAGGAAUAAAGUGAGGCACGUGUGCCUUUUUGUAUGUACUUUAUGAAUAAGGAUCGGCUAACUCCGUGCC
rnacentral:rRNA from 1 species